rnacentral:rRNA from 1 species
GAGUUUGAUCCUGGCUCAGGACGAACGCUGGCGGUGCGCCUAAUGCAUGCAAGUCGAACGGGCGAAGGGGCUUCGGCCCCCUAGCUAGUGGCAGACGGCUGAGUAACACGUAAGUGAUCUGCCCCAGAGAGGGGGAUAAGCCGGAGAAAUCCGGUCUAAUACCCCGUACGCUCGCGGUACUACGGUAUCGUGAGGAAACGUUCCGGCGCUCUGGGAGGAGCUUGCGGCCUAUCAUGGUAGUUGGUGGGGUAAAAGCCUACCAAGCCGAAGACGGGUAACCGGUGUGAGAGCACGAUCGGUCAGAGGGGGACUGAGACACGGCCCCCACUCCUACGGGAGGCAGCAGCAGGGAAUCUUGCGCAAUGGGCGAAAGCCUGACGCAGCGACACCGCGUGGGGGAUGAAGGCUUUAGAGUUGUAAACCCCUUUUCUCGGGGAAGAGAAAGGACAGUACCCGAGGAAUAAGGUUCGGCUAACUACGUGCCAGCAGCCGCGGUAACACGUAGGAACCGAGCGUUGUCCGGAUUUACUGGGCGUAAAGUGCGCGUAGGCGGUCCGUUAAGUCUCAUGUGAAAUCUCCCGGCUCAACUGGGAGGGGUCAUGGGAAACUGGCAGACUUGAGUGCAGUAGAGGGGAGCAGAAUUCCCGGAGUAGUGGUGGAAUGCGUAGAUACCGGGAGGAACACCAGAGGCGAAGGCGACUCCCUGGGCUGUGUCUGACGCUGAGGCGCGAAAGCGUGGGUAGCAAACCGGAUUAGAUACCCUGGUAGUC